rnacentral:rRNA from 1 species
UUGGCCCAGAUCGUUUACCGUGAAAAAAUUAGAGUGUUCAAAGCAGGCAGAUCCAAUUUUCUGCCACCGAAUACAUUAGCAUGGGAUAAUGGAAUAGGACCCUGUCCUCCUAUUUUCAGUUGGUUUUGGCAGCGCGAGGACUAGGGUAAUGAUUAAUAGGGAUAGUUGGGGGCAUUAAUAUUUAAUUGUCAGAGGUGAAAUUCUUGGAUUUAUGAAAGAUUAACUUCUGCGAAAGCAUCUGCCAAGGAUGUUUUCAUUAAUCAAGAACGAAAGUUAGGGGAUCGAAGACGAUCAGAUACCGUCGUAGUCUUAACCAUAAACGAUGCCGACCAGCGAUUAGGAGACGUUGAAUACAAAACACCGGCAUCGGUUGCGGUCAUCCUUGGCGUCUCGGUUUCGGCCGGGGCGCGGGGAUGGCUAGCCCGGGCUCCGAA